rnacentral:rRNA from 1 species
UACGGAGGGUGCAAGCGUUGUCCGGAUUUAUUGGGUUUAAAGGGUGCGUAGGCGGUUCUUUAAGUCAGUGGUGAAAGCCUCCAGCUUAACUGGAGAACUGCCAUUGAUACUGGGGAACUUGAGUACAGACGAGGUAGGCGGAAUUGACAGUGUAGCGGUGAAAUGCAUAGAUAUUGUCAAGAACACCGAUUGCGAAGGCAGCUUACUAGACUGUAACUGACGCUGAGGCACGAAAGUGUGGGGAUCAAACAGG